GGAGAAACCUGCCGCCGCUCGCCGCCUCUUUGUCUGCUCCGGGACUUGGAACAAAAGGGGGAACUCUGAUGAACUCUCUUUCCUCCCCUCUCCCCGGACGCCGGGGUAUCUCUCUCUCGCAACUUUGCCGCCGCGACUUUCUCUGCUGUCAGGCCAGGAAAAAGUGUCCGAACGCCUCGCGGACUGCAGCGGGGGAAAUGUCCCUUAAAAGUGCGACGAAGUGGGGAAGAAGGUGUAAUUACUAUUAUCAGCAUCUAUAAAGCAUCAUGCAUUUGCUGGAGUACUUCCUAGCACUGACCUCCUUCCUUCUGCGUUGUUCUUACUGGAUCUUUCUAUCAGCCAACAAUAUGGAAGUACCAAUACAAGGUCAAAUCAUUCCUGGAUUCAUCUGGAGUUACUUAACAGUUAAAUCAUUGGAAGUUUUGGUGAUACCUUUUCUAUAUGGAUUACAAUUUGAUCUCUGGGAAUUCUCCACCGUAAAAAAGUACCCUCAGGUGACUGCAGAUGUGUUAACCAGCAUGUUCGCGUAGGAGACUUUCUGGAUGGGGAAGAUUUCCAGGAAUCUACAACAAUCUCAUUUUACUGGUGGGUUUGCUGAAGCUUUAUCACAAGACAGUCAGAAUGAUUGAUGAGUGUUCUUCAGGUGUGAAUCAUGGCAAUACAGUGAAAGACGGUGAUUUACUGCUUUUGAGGGCAUGCAUGGAUAUGAUUAACGGAUGGAAGUGCAGGACUCCAAGAUUUACUUCUUUCCCUUUCCAGCAGAGUUACCUGAGAGGAGUAAAAUCUGCUGGUGGAGUCACUCCAUUAUUCUUAUCUGUGGAGAUCUAGAUCUUGAUUUGAAAGUUUCUGAGAAAAUCUUCAGCUCAGACUUGAGGUCAGCUUUACCAACUGAAGGAUCUGCAUUUACUGCUCAGCCACAACUAAUUUGAUGCCCUCUGCAGAUUUAAAAUGUGUGCCUUCUUUUCCAUCACCAAGUCAUCCCUGGGUUACUACUGAACAUCUUUUUCAAUUCCCCCCGACCCAUGGAUGGCUGUUCUCCACUGUCUAUUUCACCAGAUGUCCUCAAAACAAACAGACAGAAGAAGGAAGUGGCUAAUGGAGCCGUGGAGUCCAAGUGUGACUGCCAAGAGGAAUCCAGCAAAGCCAAAGAGCCCGAGCAUGUAGCCCUGCCCGAAGCCUGCCACACGCAUGGAAAACCCAGAGGAAAUGAGUGAGGAUCAAUGGGAAGAAGGGAGCCAGCCAGGAAGUUGAAGAUUUGUCCAAGAGCAGAUAGCUGAAGAGAGAGAGAAAGAGAGAACAGCUUACAGCUCAGGUCCUCUCUCCAUGCUUAGGAACCACUACAAAUGCUAUGGUCUUGAGUCUCAUUUUGUUUCCCUCUGGAAACCACAUGUGCACUUUGUUGGCGACAGUAUGGUUCUUGCUCUAUCAUGUAGGCUGGAAUGCAGUGGUGUUGGUGUGAUAGAGGUCAGUGCAGUCUCAACCUCCUGGGCUCAAGUGAUCCUCCCGCCUCAGCCUUUUGAGUAGCUGGGACCACAGGCUCACAGGCCGAAGGAAUUUUCCUUGUCUUGGAUGAGACUUUUGACUUGGACUUUUGGGUUAAGUUCUGGAGGCCAGAAGGCCAAAAUCAAAGUAUGGGCAGGCUUGAUUUCUUUAGAAGACUCCAAGGGAGAACUGUGUCUCCUCGCUUCUGAUUCUACAUCUCCAUCCAUGGGCCACUGUUUCAGGAAUCUCAGCUAGUGCAACACAACCUCAACCAACAAGAGUAUGCAGAGAAAGGAGUCCCCUACCUGCCACAAAGCUGUUGUCUGAAAACUAUCUCAUAUUGUCUCAAGUUGUCAUUCGGUGUGAAUUAGACCUUUUUAACAUGUAAUCUGCAACAUGCUUCAUUGUCUAAUUUUCCACAGCCCCUCAUAUAAGAAACUGUAUUAUUGGUAUAAUCAUCAUGGUGAGGAAGUUGAUAUGUGGGGGAGAGAUGACAGGAGCAGAGAGUAAGUCAGAGCUGGCUGCCUGACAGAUAAAAAGGAAAUGCCAAAAAAAAAAAAAAAAAAAAAAAGACACAGAAGAGGACUUAGUUGACCACACAGAAAAGGAAAGUACAGGUAAGACAGCAGUAGACUAAGAUUCGUAAGACUCAAGUUCUAGUCUUAUUUAUUAGCUAUGGGAGGCCUUGAGAGAGUUCUAGAAUUAAGUGAUCUCUCUUUAUAAAGUAGGAACAGUAAUAACUUCCCUGGCUAUCUCACAAUGCUGUAGUAGUAAGAAAUAAUUUUAUAAUUAAAGACUAUUUUAGGGCUGAUUACAUUUUUGGGCAGUGGCUCAUGCAUGUAAUUUCAACACUUUGGGAGGCCAAGGUGGGCGGAUUGCUUGAGCCCAGGAAUUCAAGACCAGGCUGGGCAACAUAGACCUUGUCACUACAAAAGAAAAAAAAUUAGCUAGGCAUGGUGGCAUAUGCCUGUGGUCCCAGCUACUCAGGAAGCUGAGACAGGAGGAUCGCCUGAGCCUGGGAGGUCAAGGCUACAGUGAGCCAUGAUCAUACUACUGCACUCCAGCCUGGGAAACAGAGUGAGACUCUGUCUCAAAUAAAGGAAUAUUUUACACUUCAAGGUUCUAUACAAAUGUAAAACAUCAUUCUAUUACAUAUUUAUAAUGCUGAUUAUUCUUUAAAUGACUUUAAAAUGUUAAUCUCUGCUAAGCCCACAGAGAAGUAUAUAACAAAUUGGUGAAGUAUUGGCAUUAAAGAUAGUCAAAAUAAAA